AACGAACGCUGGCGGCGUGCCUAACACAUGCAAGUCGAACGAGAAAGGGGCUUCGGCUCCGAGUAAAGUGGCGCACGGGUGAGGAACACGUGGGUAACCUGCCUCUAAGAUUGGGAUAACUCGUCGAAAGAUGAGCUAAUACCGAAUAAGACCACAGUUCCCGCGGGAACAGGGGUCAAAGGUAGCCUCUGCUUGCAAGCUAUCACUUAGAGAUGGGCCUGCGCACCAUUAGCUAGUUGGUAGGGUAACGGCCUACCAAGGCAAAGAUGGUUAGCUGGUCGGAGAGGAUGAUCCGCCCCACUGGGACUGGGACACGGGCCAGGCUCCUACGGGGGGCCGCAGUGGGGGAUAUUGCGCCAUGGGCGAAAGCUUGACGCAGCAACGCCGGGGGAGUGAUGAAGGCCUUCGGGUCGUAAAGCUCUGUCGGGAGGGACGAAUGCUCCUGAGGUUAACAGCCUCGGGAGGUGACGGUACCUUCAAAGGAAGCACCGGCUAACUCUGUG
rnacentral:rRNA from 1 species